AUGGUGGUAGAGUGUGCAGGGGNCCGGGCCGCCCCCUCGUCGACGGAAGAUGCUCUUACACGAACAGCUGGACAAACACUGGGGGCAGAGGCAGGGUGGAGGGCUGAGGGAGCGGGAGAGGCUGCACAGCUGAAGCCGAGCUUCCAGAAAAAGAGGCAGGGGUGGGCAUCCCAAACUGAGGCUACGAGGGGCGCCGGGGCGAAGGGAGGGUCGAGGGGGGAGCCCCCCGGAGCCGGGCUACUUCCUCGCUGGCGGCUAAGGCCCCGGGGUCCUCCCCCCAGGCCCCCGAGACGGCUGGGAAGGCCUACGCCGAGGCUGCACGCCCCCGCCGCGCAGGGCGCAGCCUGCCCCGGGCUCCUGCGGCCCCAGCGCUGCCGGACCAGGUCCCGCCCGCCCGCUGCCCGGCCCCGCUCCAGCCCCGCGAUCCCUACCGCGAGCGCUUCUAGGCCGCCGCCCCCGGCUGCUCGCGGCCCCAGCCGCCGCCGCUGCUUCCGUCGCCAGGAGUCCGACCCGCUUCCAGUUCAGGGACGAGCCGCCGCCGCCCGCCCGCAACUCGGGUACCCGAGAACCGCUCCUGCCGCCCGCCGCCCGCCCUCCAGGCCGCGCCGGAUCCUCCGCUCCCCCUGCCGGCGAGCAGCCAUUUCCGACAAGCGACUGCGGAACUUGCCGAAGUGCGUCGGGCCGGAAAUGGCCGGAAACGGCCGAACCCGGGCGCUCGCGAGCCGAGCGGCGCUCGGGACUUUCCGGACGGCGCUCGCAGGGCCGCCGAGGCGUCGGGCUCCGCCAGCGGGGUCACCGGAGUCCGGGAGCGGCGGCGGCGGCGGCGGCGGCGGCGGCGGCCACGCCGGGGAUUGUGGGAAACGCUCGGCCAAGCGAGGGCGACGGCGAGGGCGGCAGCCGGGACGAGGGACGCGGCGAGCCCGAGCCCGAGCCCGAGCCCUCGCAGCAGCGCCCUGCAGAUGCCCCUCGCCCUUUGGAGACCCCUACCUAGGGGCUGCGGGCCCCACUGCAGGAGCCCCAGCCGCUUCGAGCCGGCCGGCGGAAAUUUAA
rnacentral:lncRNA from 1 species